UUCCUAAAUUCAUUUUCUUAAAGAUAUAAAAAUCUUCAUUCCUCAAGACAGUUAAAGACGCAAUCAAGGGGUUCGCCACUAAGGGGCUGUAGACAGUUUCGCGCACGGAAUCCAGUUGAACCAAAUGAAGGGUUGCGCGUCUGUGCAGAAUGCCUGAGUUUCAGCUGUUUCUAGUUUCAAAUAAUUGUGUAACUAUGAAUAAAUCCGUGACGUCUUGAA